GAAGUCCCGCCUGCCAGUCCACAGCGCGCUGGCGCGCUGACGGGCGUCCAUCUCCGCGGCGGUCGCCGCCUGGCCUUUUCAGCACCCUCGAAAAAGUUUCCCCGAAGUUUCCAGUAAAAAGAUGGUUGCAGCGGGACCGUGCCUAGAAAGAGCGUGAAGACAUGGCAGACAGAUUUCACAGACAUGGAUCAUAAGUUCACACAAAGAAGUCCUGAAGAUGCUGGGGCUGGACAGUGUGAAAGUAAACACAAACAAAAGAAAGAAAAAAAGCAAAACCCAAAACACCAUGAAUCUCAGUAUAAAUCAGUGAAAUAUGAUUCUUCAGAUAAUGAAUUGUUUCCUCGUGCAUCAUCUUCCUCAGGAUGCCAGACGGAUUCAAGCAAUGAAGGAAUCUUCUGAGACAUCCAUCAUCCUAUCUGGUCCACAGUCAUUGAUCCACACCAUUUGCCACUGAGAUGUCAUCAUUUCUGUUUGCCUAUUUCUUCAGGUAUGGUGUUGUGCUCUCACUGUAAUGACAUGUCACAUAUAGGAGAAUUUACA
rnacentral:lncRNA from 1 species